UGGGGAAUAUUGCACAAUGGGGGGAACCCUGAUGCAGCAAUGCCGCGUGGGUGAAGAAGCACUCCGGUGCGUAAAGCCCUGUCAGCAGGGAAGAAAAUGACAGUACCUGGACAAGAAGCCCCGGCUAACUACGUGCCAGCAGCCGCGGUAAUACGUAGGGGGCAAGCGUUAUCCGGAUUUACUGGGUGUAAAGGGAGCGCAGGCGGCGUGGCAAGUCAGAUGUGAAAACCCGGGGCCCAACCCCGGGAGUGCAUUUGAAACUGCCAUGCUGGAGUGCCGGAGAGGUAAGCGGAAUUCCUAGUGUAGCGGUGAAAUGCGUAGAUAUUAGGAGGAACACCAGUGGCGGAGGCGGCUUACUGGACGGUAACUGACGCUGAGGCUCGAAAGCGUGGGGAGCAAACA
rnacentral:rRNA from 1 species